rnacentral:rRNA from 1 species
UACGUAGGGCGCAAGCGUUGUCCGGAAUUAUUGGGCGUAAAGAGCUCGUAGGUGGCGUGUCGCGUCUGCCGUGAAAGCCCAUGGCUUAACUGUGGGUCUGCGGUGGAUACGGGCAGGCUGGAGGCUGGUAGGGGCAAGCGGAAUUCCUGGUGUAGCGGUGAAAUGCGCAGAUAUCAGGAGGAACACCGGUGGCGAAGGCGGCUUGCUGGGCCAGUUCUGACGCUGAGGAGCGAAAGCGUGGGGAGCGAACAGGAUAGAUACCCA